rnacentral:rRNA from 1 species
AUUGAACGCUGGCGGCAGGCCUAACACAUGCAAGUCGAGCGGAUGAAGGGAGCUUGCUCCUGGAUUCAGCGGCGGACGGGUGAGUAAUGCCUAGGAAUCUGCCUGGUAGUGGGGGAUAACGUCCGGAAACGGGCGCUAAUACCGCAUCCGUCCUGAGGGAGAAAGUGGGGGAUCUUCGGACCUCACGCUAUCAGAUGAGCCUAGGUCGGAUUAGCUAGUUGGUGGGGUAAAGGCCUACCAAGGCGACGAUCCGUAACUGGUCUGAGAGGAUGAUCAGUCACACUGGAACUGAGACACGGUCCAGACUCCUACGGGAGGCAGCAGUGGGGAAUCUUGGGCAAUGGGCGAAAGCCUGAUCCAGCCAUGCCGCGUGAGUGAAGAAGGUCUUCGGAUUGUAAAGCACUGUAAGUUGGGAGGAAGGGCAGUAAGUUAAUACCGUGCUGUUUUGACGUUACCAACAGAAUAAGCACCGGCUAACUUCGUGC